CCUGAUCACACUGCCUACUGCUACUCGAGCAGGGCUUAGCUUCGGUCGAGGCUAAUAUUGGCCCUCAGGUAAACUCAGACAACUAGGUAGUGGGUAACCUUAAGCGAUAGGAGAUUUCAUGAGGAGCUUCAUUGCUUUCUGCCUUCCUCCUCCUCCUGGGGCUCCCUCCCCCACUCUUUUGCUCUCCUCAUCUCCAUUCCUAUACCACUGGGCAGGAGAAAGGGAUAGGGAAAUUCCACAGGUCUCUCCACCCAGGGAAAAGCUGUUACCUGUUAACCCUUUCCAACCGGGUAAAAAGUUUUCCAUCUUUGCAGCUUAUGGUAGCUCUGGUGCAUCUUAAAAGUUUUUUGUGAACUAUUACUGUUGCUAAGCUUUGAUUGCCUGAGGACUAAAUCUGGAAAAGAGCUAAAGUUAACUAUCUGUUGUAAUUGACUGAGUGUCUGCAGUAGUCCUAAUUGAUCUGGCUUUGGUUAAAUUAUAGGAGGUUCCCAACACUCUUGGUAAAACGGCGCACCUACCCAACCCCACGAUUAGUCCUGCCAGGCCCCGGUGUGUGCAGUCUUCCCUGUAAAUGGGGGAACACAGCCUUUCUCUGCACUCCAAAUAUCUCUAGGCAGAGCCCCCACCCCAGGGCUGCUUCUUUUUCCUCUCCUGGAGGAAUUUCCAAUUCAAUACCACUGCUGACCUUACCUAAGGGAGCCAGAACCUUAAGCCAUUAACCCUUUCCAACCUGAUGGGUUUUCUCUUUGCAGCUAAUAAAAACCUAAACAGUGGGUUCAUAUGCUGAUAAUCAGCUCUUUUCUGUGCUGCUGUCCCUGACUCAUCUGAGAGCGUUCACCUGUCUUGAAGGUUUCGCGUUUUUCUAUUGCCAUUAUGAGUCUUGAUUGGAAAAACUACAGCGCGAAGUUUGUUUACAUUGUUUAUCUGUUUUUAAUGUCUAAGUAAUUACCCAACUGAUCAGAAAUGUACUAAUUUUGGCUAAAUGGUUUGACUCUCUGACAGCUUAAAUUCUAAACCGAGUCUUCCAACUUUGGGCUUCCAGUCGGAUCCCUGGAACUCUCAAAGGAUGAGACUCUAAAUUUGUUAAAGUAACAGCUGCUUGGGUCAAUUCAAAUUAUAUAAAAUAUAUUAAAAUGUUAUAAAUGGUGUCAGACCUAUGCUGUAUUUAUGGUUUUGCUUUCCAGUUAAAGCGGUCUUAUAAAAAUAAGAGUAAAAUUCUGUGUAUACAAGCCUUUAUGUUAUUAACUAAAGUAAGCCAAUACAGAUUGGUUCAGAAAAUUGAGGUAAUGCAAACGCCCUUAAGUUUGCUCAGUGGCUUGCUUGCUCAGUUUUACAAGUCUUUGAUAUGCUUUAAACUUGUUUCUCUUAAUGAGGAAGAUCUUUUCAAAGUUGUAAACAUGCACUAAUGUUUGCUGUCCAGGAGGUGUUAUCCUCAAGUUACUUAAAAACAUAAAAAUGUAAUUUUAACUUUUAUUUCAGAUAAUGGUGUGGUAUUCACUAAUAACUCAGUGUCUUAAGUCAUCUAGGCAUCAGUGCUAAGUAAAACUUGGAUUAUUUACAGAGUUAAGUGCUAAUACCAAAAUUACACUGACCUAAAGUUAAAGUCUAAUCUUCUGUUAUAACAAUGGGGUUUAAAAAAAAAAAAAAAGUGGAGCCGGCGCCGUGGCUCAAUAGGCUAAUCCUCCACCUAGCGGCGCCGGCACACCGGGUUCUAGUCCCGGUUGGGGCGCCGGAUUCUGUCCCGGUUGCCCCUCUUCCAGGCCAGCUCUCUGCUAUGGCCAGGGAGUGCAGUGGAGGAUGGCCCAGGUGCUUGGGCCCUGCACCCCAUGGGAGACCAGGAAAAGCACCUGGCUCCUGGCUCCUGCCAGGAUCAGCGCGGUGCGCCGGCUGCAGCGGCGGCCAUUGGAGGGUGAACCAACGGCAAAGGAAGACCUUUCUCUCUCUGUCUCUCUCUCUCACUGUCCACUCUGCCUGUCAAAAAAAAAAAAAAAAAAAAGUGUACUAAUGUUAGUAAAUAUCUAAAAAUGGUCUAAAUCAUAAAUCUUGGAAUCUGUUUCUGCAAAAACUGUAACAUCUAUGUUAACAGUGUCUGCUAAAUCGAUUACUCUGCCAUUUCUAGAGUUAGGUCCUGUAAGCUCUUUUUGACUCUGUUAAAUAAUUCUAAAUUAUGUAAACUCUUAUAUACAAGGUUUUUUUUUUAUUUCUGGUUUAUUCGACAACAAGAGACAUAAAAUUCAUGUUAAUCCAUUGUGUACUCUACUGUCUCUGUUAUGAUUAUACGGCAGAUGCUAAAAAAACUGGGUUCCAGAAACCCAAGAAAGCGCUAGUGUCCACAGGCUACAUGGUAAAUACCCGGAAGCCAAAGGAUGGCAGAGACCUCUGCCACAAUUUCUCCUCUAAGUCAGGCUACACAGUAAACACUGGUUAAACUGCCGGUUAAAUCUAAAAGCCCAGAAAGUCAGGCUAGAGACCCAACUUGCUGCCUCACUUCUCCUCUUUUCUCUUCCAGAAGGGAAAUUACUACUGUUCUGCAGGACUCUCCACUGUGACGUACGGUUUGAUCCCCAGACCUUAUGUAAGGGAUGACUGACCUUUUCUGUAAUAAUGCCUGGCCACAGUAUAGGGCCCCAAACAACAUAAAAAAAAGGGGGGGGGGUUAAACUACUAGAUCAAUUUUUCAGUGUACGCGUUAAAUGGGCAGAACUCCCCUUUUAAACCAAACUAAAAAAUAAAUAAAAAGUUACACUGACGACCUCAAAGUAUGCAAACAGGUCACCACAGUUGAUCUUACCUAAAGGGUCAUAGUUCUCCUCAUGGGCACGGUCUUAACUCGCAGGAAAAUACUAAGUGUCAGGAUUUGCCCAUGACCAUAAUUUUUCUAGCUCACCCUGAUAUUAAAAAAUCUCCAAAAAUCAGGGUUGGGUUGGGCACCCCCUUGACUUGCAUCAUAGAGGCUGCCUCCAGGGUCCACUUUAUUAGAGACCAGGGAAAUGAGGAGCAAGCUAGCAGCAGGAACAAUGUAGGGAUGGGCAACAGGCCAAUCAAUGGCUACUUUACACAGUGAUCUGCCGUCAAGGAGACCCAGCAAGGCCAGUGCACCCCAAACUGUGCACCUGUUGCUGAUAUAAGGAGCCAGGGCGUUGGGCAAGCAGCUGUCAUGACAGCAAAUGCCUUCUGUCAGCCCUGCCAAGAGCACAGCCACUGGACACGGAACUGCCCUGGGUGUCGAAGGACUCCUGGUUCAGAACUACAGACCCUGUGGCCCCGAGCUAAAAAGCCUUUGGCUCUGCCCAGCCUCUGCCCAGCUUCCAAUUCCAGCCACUGCUACUGGGGAUGGCUUAGGGUCAGUAAAACACUAAAAGCUGUUAACUCCAAAUGGUCGUCAGACAAGGCUUCCAGCCCAUUCCACUGGACUACCUGAACAGCCCUUUGGACCAAGCAGUACAGUCUUUCCAAGGCCACUGUUGCACACCAUAAGACAGGUAGCAAGAGGAAAUACCCAAAUCCCCCUCGACGCCCACAUGCCAGCUUCGAAGAAGUUACAGAAGACGGAACUCCAUCCAUAAUCCCAAAGAAGAAUUUUGGGUAUUACCUCUUGAGGGGAAAAUAUUAGGCAAAAAGUUAGUUAUGAGCUUAUGUGUGUGUGACAUAAAGGCCUAAUGUGCCCACCAUAUGCAUCUACAUCUCAGUCAUCCUGACAAUGUUUCACAGACAGCCUGGCCUUUGCAUCCUGCCCUGCCCCCUUCUACCUGAUAACCUGCCAGGUGGAGAUCCUUCUGCCUGACAAAUCUUCCACAAUCUCCCAGAUGCAGCCCAGUAUCUGCAUUUCAGUAUUACAGAACAGGCGGGGGUUGGAUCUCAUUCUCAUAGGUGGGGGGUGUUAUGCGCGGCCCUGAAGAAAAAAUGUUGUUUUUAUGCUGACUGAACCCAGGUGGUUAGAAACUCCAUGGCCAAACUCAGAAAACGACUGGAAAAACGGCAAUGGGAGAGGGAAACUCAACAAAAAUGGUUUGAGUCAUGGUUCGGCUGGUCCCUAUGGCUUACUACCCUACUGUCAGCCCUAGCAGGACCCUUAAUUGUUCUACUCCUAAUUGUAACCAUAGGACCUUGUGUGUUAAAUAAACUCAUCACCUUCGUGUGAAAACAAGUUAAAAAUGUUAAACUCAUGGUCAUAAGACAACAAUAUAUCACAUUAAAAAAAAAAAUCUCUAAGAUUAGAGAUCCUCACAACAAGGAGUGGGGAAUGAAGAGUUAAAAUUGUAUAUGUGCAGGUGUAAAAAGUUAAGCUUAAGCUUACAGGUUUAAACCUUCCUGGUACAGCUGUAAAAAUAAGACAGAGUGAAGUAGCACCUUGACAGUAGGGACUCCAUUUUGGAGCACUUGAGACUCCAUUCUGGGAAAGCACCCCCCCACCAUGAGACUCUGGUUUGCAACCAUGAUCUCAAAUAGUCAGACAAUAGCAGUGCACUACAUCACCCUUGGCAGAACACAAAAACCCCCUAGCAUGAUUGCUCAAGCUUAAAAGUAGAAAGGUUGCACUUGGGUUACCUGGGCUAAUAAUAAAGAUGUGAUUUGUCUGUGUCUUACAUUAAUGUCAAGUCCUAAUUGCUAAUUGUAAUAUUGUAACUGGUAUUGUCAAGAUUAUGAUAAAUAUUAAUUUCACUUAGGUUUUAGGUUAUGUUGACCCCAGUAACCAUAUACUCUUUUGAUUUUAUGUACUCUCUUUUGAUUUUAGCAACUGUGUAUAACAACCGUGCAUAGCAACCAUGUAUUCCCCCCCUUCCCGGUUUUGUGGUUUUUGCCUUUAUAAACCCUAACCUUUGGUUAUUUGGGGCUGCUCUGUUCAUGUAUGAUCAGACAGCCCCAGCAUGCUGGAUAAUCAAUAAAGCUUCCCCUUGCUGUUUGCAU